UACGUAGGGUGCGAGCGUUUAAUCGGAAUUACUGGGCGUAAAGCGUGCGCAGGCGGUUUUGUAAGCCAGAUGUGAAAUCCCCGGGCUCAACCUGGGAAUGGCAUUUGGGACUGCAAGGCUUGAGUGCGGCAGAGGAGACUGGAAUUCCUGGUGUAGCAGUGAAAUGCGUAGAUAUCAGGAGGAAUACCGAUGGCGAAGGCAGGUCUCUGGGCUGACACUGACGCUCAUGCACGAAAGCGUGGGGAGCAAACAGG
rnacentral:rRNA from 1 species